rnacentral:rRNA from 1 species
GGAUAAGCUUGCUUAUCCGCCGGCGACCGGCGCACGGGUGCGGAACGCGUAUGGAACCUGCCCCUGUCAGGGGAAUAGCCCAGGGAAACUUGGAUUAAUGCCCCAUGGUACCGCGAUAUCGCAUGAUAUUGCGGUUAAAGAUUUAUCGGACAGGGAUGGCCAUGCGUACCAUUAGCUUGUUGGUGAGGUAACGGCUUACCAAGGCAACGAUGGUUAGGGGCCCUGAGAGGGGGAUCCCCCACACUGGUACUGAGACACGGACCAGACCCCUACGGGAGGCAGCAGUGAGGAAUAUUGGACAAUGGUCGGAAGACUGAUCCAGCCAUGCCGCGUGCAGGAUGACGGCCCUAUGGGUUGUAAACUGCUUUUAUACGGGAAGAAACCCGCCUACGUGUAGGCGGCUGACUGUACCGUAAGAAUAAGGACCGGCUAACUCCGUGCCAGCAGCCGCGGUAAUACGGAGGGUCCGAGCGUUAUCCGGAAUCAUUGGGUUUAAAGGGUCCGUAGGCGGGCCUGUAAGUCAGGGGUGAAAGUUUGUGGCUCAACCAUAAAAUUGCCUUUGAUACUGCAGGUCUUGAGUCAUGGUGGGGUUGCCGGAACAUGUGGUGUAGCGGUGAAAUGCAUAGAUAUCACAUAGAACACCGAUCGCGAAGGCAGGUGACCAACCAUGUACUGACGCUGAUGGACGAAAGCGUGGGUAGCGAACGGGAUUAGAUACCCCGGUAGUCCACGCCGUAAACGAUGGAUACUAGCUGUGGGG